ACCUUAUAGCUUAACCCAUAAAGCAUGGCACUGAAAAUGCCAAAAUGAGCCCUGAAAAGCUCUGAGAGUA
rnacentral:tRNA from 1 species